CAAACCGGAGGAAGGUGGGGAGGACGUCAAGUCUUCAUGGCCCUUAGGGCUAGGGUUCCCCAGUUCAUCCAAUGUAGGGGCCGAAGGGUCCACACCGCGGGAGGUAAAGCCAUUCCCAGAACCCCGUUUCUAUUCCGGAUGGCAUUUUGAAAUUGGAUUCCGGAAAUUGGAAAUCGUUGUAAUUCCAGGUCAGCAAUGUCGCGGUGAAUACGUUCCCGGGCCUUGUACACACCGCCCGUCACACCAUGGGAGUGGGUUGCACCAGA
rnacentral:rRNA from 1 species